GAGCGAGAAUGGAUAGUGGCGAGCCAAAUUUCUGGGAAAGAGACGCUGACAAAUUUUAACUAACGUUUGCUAUGGAGCACAAUUAAAUCAAAUUAUAACUAUUAAAUUUAUUUUAGGUUAUUAGUUUGUUACAAUUUUUUCCCUUUUUUAUUUAGGGCUUUAUUAGGUCAAAAAAUAGAUGGUGAUUUUUUUUUUUUCUGAAAUGAGAAACAAUUUCCAAGUAGAAAAACCCUAAUUAUUUCCUCUUCCAUUUUCCUCCCUUAGCAUCCACCACCCUAAACCCUCUUCUCCGACCAGCAGCGAAAUUCGGGAAUAAUGACAUUCAUUUUACACUUUUAUCCAGCCAAGCAACAAUGAAAUCAAACCCCAAAGCCCCCCCCCCCCCCCUUUUUUUUUUUUAACUCUUCUUCACUGUUAUCUCGCGAAAAACCCCAAUUCCUACGAGCAUUGAGCUGACCCAACAACCAUGAAGCUACUGCUAGCUCACCACCUGUAAAUAACUGGACCAAAACUCCGACCAACGAAGCUAGCUGCUUCCCUUUCCCUCUUUCCUUUCCCGAUUUUUUCAUUUUUCCACAUCUCCAGAGAGCUUCAAGCUCCACAGCCAACUAAACCCAUUUCCCACCAAACUCCAUUUUUCUCCUUUUUCCGAUAAAAAGGUCAUGGGAAACAACCCCCAAAUCAGAUCUCAAAACGAACUAGACCCCACCAAUUCUUCUUUCCCUAUUGGCGUUUCCGGCGAAAUCACAAGCUCAAACUGGUGGAGUGACCGACAACAACCUCACACAACAACGAGCAGCAGUCAUGAGCUGUCGAAACCCGCAAAAUAUCGACGAGUCUCUCACUUUCAGAUCUGCCCGGAGGAAUACAUAUUCCGGUAUGACAAUCAAGUUGAACACACCUGACACUAACUUUCUCAUCCUUGCCCUCAAAUCGACAACUAUAAUUGGAUCAUACUUAUCCAAUUUAGUUAAUGGGUUUGUUAGGAUCAUAUUCGAUAUGUCACGUUUAGGGGAUAGUUGGAUCAUGAGAGAAGUAUUCAAGACAACUCACUGCCUUCCACCAAUGCAUCUGUUCAUAAAAGAAAGAGGACUUGUCAUCUACUUUCCUACCUAAAAAGGUACAAGAGAAGAUCAACUUGCUCAAAAGGAACUUAAUGUAUCAAUAGAAGCAACAUAAAAUCCAUUUACUGCUCAAAAUGAACCUAAUGGAUCAGCUGAAGCAGCACAAAGUCAUUCACAACUCAAAAAAGUGAAACCCAUCAAUCUUAGAAACAAGGUAAUAAUUAUAAAGUAUCGUCUUCUAAAGUAAACAAAAAAGGUAGGUGCAAAAAAUAGAUAAACAUUUGAACAUGAUAAUGAGAUUGUUAUCAAAGGUCUAAUGGAGGCGAUGAAAUAAUUCACUCAAAGUCAUGAUAGGCAAAUGACUUCUUUAAUUGACAACUAGGAGAGCGUGAUCUAUAUGAGAUUCAUGGUAAGAUAUUUUAUAUUAUUAGACUCCAUGUAUUUGAAAUGUGUAACUCGGAUGAACCACUCAAGGAAAUAAUGGAAAUUACUCAAGAUAUAAAGAGGAUGGAGUUCUUCUUAAGCAUUAGUGAAGUUGAACGUCACAGUAUGGUAUGGAUGAUUAUUAGUGAUUAAAUUUUUGUAUCACUGAAUGAUUUUUGUGUAGCUAUUUUGUAAGGUCUAACCAUAGUGAGAUUUUUUGUUACCUAGUAGAAUGUCCACGAGUGUACAUAUAUGUGAAUGUUGUUGGCUUAAAGUGGGUUGCUUUUUUUUUUUAUAUAACAAAUGCAUCACUAAGUUUAACAUUAGUGUUUUUGUAAGUAUCCAACUCAGAUGCGCUUCAUAUUGCUUAAAAAGAUGACCCAAACGGUAAGUUCAUCAUCUUCUCCAAGGUGUUUUUAAUUCCUUCUUCUCCGAGAUUGUAUUGAACUUUCCUUUUCUCGCAGACUAUUCAUUAAUUAGAGUAGUCACAAAAGUCCAGUCAGACAUAUAAUGUACUCAGAUGAUAUCGUCAAUUGAUUAUAUGUUGUUGGAACUGGUAUUCAGCUUUUGAAACUUGGUGUUUUUCAUGGAAGGAUAAUGUUACAAAAAUAGGACAUCUCUUUUGAAAACAGAGUUAAUUGUAUGUCAUUGUUGUAUGUGUCCGUUUUUGUAAUUCAACAAUGAAGUAUGUAAGUUCAAUUCACUUAAUGAAGAUGGGUCUAAUACUUAAACAAUGAAUUAUGCGCGAGUAAAUUCUUUCCUUAUGAAUGGUUUCUCCUUUAGCUUAAUUUGUAUGAGAUCGAAUUCAAAAGGGCAACAAAUUUUUUAAACCAAUUUCAGAAGUGCAACAUUUUUUUUAUCAAACCAAAAGGGCCGUAAAUUUAAUACCGUCUAUAUUAGAUUUCAUGCCGCAAGAAAUAGAAUUCAAUGAACCUUGUAAGGCGCAACAUACUUGAGCCUUGUAAGGCUCAAAUGACAUGCGCCUUACAAGGCUCAAGGUUUCAACGUUUUGUAGGAUUUUUAAAAAGAAAUAUUUGAUCGCUUUUGAAAUGUCUGUGAGAUAAUCUCUUUUGAAUCUAAUUGAGCUUUGUGUUUUUAUAUAUUCUUUUGUUGUCAUAACAUAGAAUUUUCCUUUGAAGGUAAAAGAAGAAGAAAAUAUUGAUUAGAGUCAAAUCUUAUUUUGAUGGCUUUGUGGCAGUUGUGUUUUGAUUGUGAAGCAGACUGAUACAAGUAUCAUCUAGUUUAUCAUCUUGUGGUGGAUUUUAUUUACUAGUAAUAUUCUUCACUUUCCUUCUUUAGCUGGUUGUUUGGAUUGAGUAUGUUAUGACUAGUUGAAAGCGAUCGAAUAUACACAUAUACUUAAAAAGGCUGCA